AUUGAACGCUGGCGGCAGGCCUAACACAUGCAAGUCGAACGAGUGGCGGACGGGUGAGUAAUGUCUGGGAAACUGCCUGAUGGAGGGGGAUAACUACUGGAAACGGUAGCUAAUACCGCAUACCAUCGGAUGUGCCAAGAUGGGAUUAGCGAGUAGGUGGGGUAACGGCUCACCUAGGCGACGAUCCCUAGCUGGUCUGAGAGGUUGCCCAGCAACACUGGAACUGAGACACGGUCCAGACUCCUACGGGAGGCAGCAGUGGGGAAUAUUGCACAAUGGGCGAAAGCCGGAUGCAGCCAUGCCGCGUGUAUGAAGAAGGCCCUCGGGUUGUAAAGUACUUUCAGCGGGGAGGCGUUACCCGAAGAAGAAGCACCGGCUAACUCCGUGCCAGCAGCCGCGGUAAUUC
rnacentral:rRNA from 1 species